CAGCCCUCAUCUCCCCCAUUUUUUUGUCCUCCCCCAAGCUCCACAGAGAGGAGCGAUGAGCCUUCAUCUCGUUGACAGUGAUGGCCAUCUCCAGUCCGAGAAAAGGCUAAAGGAGUACCUGACCACGAUUGUGGCACCCAGCGUCUCGCAGAGCGGCAGCGCGGCGACAGCAGACGACGGCGAUGGCGACAGCGCUCUCGAGGCCAUCGGCGUGAACUACCACGUCGUCGGCGUCUUCGGCGGGCAGAGCAGCGGCAAGUCCACGCUGCUAAAUCAUCUCUUUGGCACAGAUUUUCAGACGCUCAACGAGGCGGUGCGGCGUGGCCAGACGACCAAGGGCGCUUUCAUAGCACGCGCCAACGACGCUCUGGCCGGGUUCGAAGCCAGCGGCGCCUCUGUUGUUGCAGAUCAGCUCGCCUCCGGCGCCGCAGACCACAGCUCUUGCCUCAACCGCGCUGCUGCUGCUGCUGCUGCUGCGACCAAGGACGCUGCAUACGGUGAACAUGGUGCGCCGCACACCGUGCCUCCUCUGCUGGUGCUGGACUUUGAGGGCACCGAUGGACUGGAGCGGGGCGAAGACCAGUGUUUUGAGCGCCAACUCUCGCUCUUCGGGCUGAGCAUCGCUGACACACUCAUCAUUAACAUGUGGGCCGUCGACGUUGGCCGCUUCAACGCCGCUAACCUGAGCCUACUGCGUACUAUUUUCGAGGUCAACCUGCAGCUCUUCAGCCACGAUAAUUACGAAGCGGAGGAGAAGCCGACUUUACUCAUCGUGCUGCGUGACUUCACCGAGGACGACCCGGCGCCGAGCCUCGCCACGGUGCGCAAGUCCUUCGACACGAUUUGGGAGGGCAUCACUCGGCCAGCUCAGUUUGCGGGCGCCAGCAUUGAUGCUCUGUUUCACUUGAAGUACUACGUAAUGCCUCACUACAAGCUGCAGAAGACGGAGUUCAUGCCCUCGGUGGAGACGCUGCGGCGCUGGUUUGGCGACAGCCAGUGCCCCGACUACCUCUUCUCCCACCGCGCCAUGUUUCGCGGCGUGCCGCUCGAGGGGCUACCGGCGUACCUGACGAACUGCUGGGAGGCGAUCCGCACGAGUAAGGACUUGGACAUUCCGACGCAGCGUGAGAUGCUGGCGCAGCAUCGGUGCAAGGAGGCGAAGGUGCAGGAGCUCAAGACGUUCCGCCACUUCGCUCGGCACUACGAGGAUAGGCUGCUUCACGGCGAGAUGCUGCUGCGCUUGUCGGAGGUCCUGGACGAAGAGAUGGAGACCCGCCUGGCCUCUUUUUAUCGGCAGACAAAGCUGUACAACAGCGACGUAGUGGGGCAGUACGCGAAUGAGCUGGAGACGGAGCUGGUGGAUGCCACACUGCGGGUGCUAAACCGACUGUCCAAGGCGAUCGCCGCCGAAGUACUGUCGAACGCCGAGCCGCGCGUGCUGAACAGCGUCGAGGAGAGUCUCCGCCAGCUUCUCAAGUCAGCUCAGACACUGCCAUUCAGCGCCGGCGAGGGCCCCAGCGCCGCAGAGGCUGAGGAGGCGAACGACGUGGAGCGAGACGCAGCGCACCUUGUCGGGGCACAGCGGAUGGACUCGCCUGCGUGCCAGAAGCUUGUUCGGAGUUUCUGGCGCUCUCUCAGCAGCUAUGUCAACGAGGUGGUGGCAGAGGUCGCCGCAAUGCCGCCGCGUGCCCACCUCUACGGCCGCUAUGUCGCCCUCAUCGCCCAGGAUCCCACGACGCGACUCAACGUGCUGAACAUUGUCACGGACGCGCUCUUCCAGAAGGUGAAGUCGCGUGUGGUCUCCAUGGCUGACAGCGCGUGCGACACGAUGCACGCCGGGUUCGAGCGCAGCCUCACUCACAACAGCGACGGCACCGCCCGCUUCUUCGCCACCACCAAGGGGUUGCAGAAGGCCGUGCCUGCAGCUAUGCAGGCGGGCGUGGUAGUCUUGGGAAGCCUCUUCUACUUCCGGCUGAAGCUGGUGGCGGCGGGGGCCGACGACGACGGCAUCGGCGCUGAUGUUGCUGGUACGGCUUUGCCGCAGAGCCGCUCGGCUCGCCGAGUGAGGCACGACCAACACCGAAUCGUGUUCAGCGACAACGACGCCGAGGCGGCCUUCUACCUGAGCUACAGCACCCUCGACACAGCCCCCAAGUACCCCUACGAUGUCCCUGUGACGUCUGCCGACUGCGAAGGAGAAGAGGCGGGUGCCGUAGCGGACUGCAUCUUGCUCAGCCAGCAAGCCAUCGUGCGCGCCUACGAGCUAUAUAGGCAGAAAUGUGACUUCACGACACAGCUGCAGCUGCGAACUGUCGAGGCGGCCAAACAGCGACUUCCUGCCUGGGUCAUUCCGGCCCUCUUCAUUUUGGGUUGGAACGAGUUACUCUACGUGCUCACCUCGCCUGCUCUGCUAGUGCUUGUGGUCGUUAUCUGCGCCGUUUUCUUCAAGCAGUUCUUUGUGUCACAGUGGCACGCGUUUGAGGAGACAGGCCCGGCCAGCGUCGUGAUACCGACGAAGACGGUGAUCCACACGCUCAGCACUCUGGUGCGCUCUCUGCUCGACUAUCGGCCGGGCCCUCGCACGGAGCGCACAGAGCGAAGCCACGAUGCCGCUGCCGCGGCAGAGAAGGAGAUGCCCCAUGUGGUGGCUACAGCUACGCACGUGGACCCGACGCUGGGCAACGCUAACGUGCCAACCGCCCCGUCCACGAUGCGCCACCGCACAAGUCGGAAACUGGACUAGAGGCCCCGUCGCAGCGGCAGGUUUCGCGGAUUGGUGAGACCGAGUAUAUCAGGACGUGCUGUGCAUGUGUGUGUGUGUGCGUGGUCUCUUAUGAGUGCAUUUGACUCUUGUUUCGUCGCUGUCUCUGUGUCCCUCUCGGUGUGUAGGUGCCGAUCGCAUCCCAUCUCAUGUCUUGCGCGGGCCCUGUCCUGUGUGCGCGUGUGCUUGAAGGCGGGGCGAGACGAGUCCAAGAGCGGGGGAGUUGGCGGUGGGCACUUGUGCAUGGCCGCUGUUUACAAUACCGCAGCCGCAUUGUUGUUUUCCCUUCGCUCUUUUUAUGUUUGUGCUGUUAUUGCUGCAAGUGGAUGCCCUUUG
rnacentral:misc_RNA from 1 species